rnacentral:rRNA from 1 species
CCUACGGGAGGCAGCAGUGGGGGAUAUUGCACAAUGGGGGAAACCCUGAUGCAGCAACGCCGCGUGAGCGAAGAAGUUCUUCGGUUUGUAAAGUUCUGUUCUUAGUGAAGAUAAUGACGGUAGCUAAGGAGAAAGCUCCGGCUAACUACGUGCCAGCAGCCGCGGUAAUACGUAGGGAGCGAGCGUUGUCCGGAUUUACUGGGUGUAAAGGGUGCGCAGACGGCAGAGCAAGUCAGGCGUGAAAGCUAGGGGCUCAACCCCGUAACUGCUGUGGAAACUGUGGGGCUUGAGUGAAGUAGAGGUAAGCGGAAUUCCUGGUGUAGCGGUGAAAUGCGUAGAGAUCAGGAGGAACACCAGUGGCGAAGGCGGCUUACUGGGCUGUAACUGACGCUGAGGCACGAAAGCGUGGGUAGCAAACAGGAUUAGAUACCCUGGUAGUC